GGAGAGAUGGUUUAGUGGUUAAGAACACUGACUGUUCUUUCAGAGGACCUGGGUUCAAUUCCCAGUACUUACA
rfam:Mesocricetus auratus contig073137, whole genome shotgun sequence.